rnacentral:tRNA from 1 species
CCUGAUAAAAAGGGUUAUUUUGAUAGAAUAAAUCACGCUUAAUAGCCCUCAUUA